UCUAGAACUUGAGAUAUGGGAUGAACACUGAACUGUGUCUGGGCCGCAGGACAGAUUCUGACUUCUUUGUUGUUGCUACAAUUUGAACUUGAAAAUGAUCCUUUUGAUUCUUGGCCUCUUCAUAAAAGUUUGAGGCCUAUGUCUUAGCUUUCUAUC
rnacentral:pre_miRNA from 1 species